rnacentral:rRNA from 1 species
GGGAUAACACUUGGAAACAGGUGCUAAUACCGUAUAACACUAUUUUCCGCAUGGAAGAAAGUUGAAAGGCGCUUUUGCGUCACUGAUGGAUGGACCCGCGGUGCAUUAGCUAGUUGGUGAGGUAACGGCUCACCAAGGCCACGAUGCAUAGCCGACCUGAGAGGGUGAUCGGCCACACUGGGACUGAGACACGGCCCAGACUCCUACGGGAGGCAGCAGUAGGGAAUCUUCGGCAAUGGACGAAAGUCUGACCGAGCAACGCCGCGUGAGUGAAGAAGGUUUUCGGAUCGUAAAACUCUGUUGUUAGAGAAGAACAAGGAUGAGAGUAGAACGUUCAUCCCUUGACGGUAUCUAACCAGAAAGCCACGGCUAACUACGUGCCAGCAGCCGCGGUAAUACGUAGGUGGCAAGCGUUGUCCGGAUUUAUUGGGCGUAAAGCGAGCGCAGGCGGUUUCUUAAGUCUGAUGUGAAAGCCCCCGGCUCAACCGGGGAGGGUCAUUGGAAACUGGGAGACUUGAGUGCAGAAGAGGAGAGUGGAAUUCCAUGUGUAGCGGUGAAAUGCGUAGAUAUAUGGAGGAACACCAGUGGCGAAGGCGGCUCUCUGGUCUGUAACUGACGCUGAGGCUCGAAAGCGUGGGGAGCGAACAGGAUUAGAUACCCUGGUAGUCCACGCCGUAAACGAUGAGUGAUAGGUGUUGGAGGGUUUCCGCCCUUCAGUGCUGCAGCA